rnacentral:rRNA from 1 species
AAACCAACAGGGAUUGCCCUAGUAACGGCGAGUGAAGCGGCAACAGCUCAAAUUUGAAAUCUGGCUCUCGGGCCCGAGUUGUAAUUUGUAGAGGAUGACUUUGAUGCGGUGCCUUCCGAGUUCCCUGGAACGGGACGCCAUAGAGGGUGAGAGCCCCGUCUGGUUGGAUGCCAAAUCUCUGUAAGUCUCCUUCGACGAGUCGAGUAGUUUGGGAAUGCUGCUCUAAAUGGGAGGUAUAUGUCUUCUAAAGCUAAAUACCGGCUAGAGACCGAUAGCGCACAAGUAGAGUGAUCGAAAGAUGAAAAGCACUUUGAAAAGAGAGUUAAACAGCACGUGAAAUUGUUGAAAGGGAAGCGUUUGUGACCAGACUUGGGCCCGGCCGCACAUCCAGCGUUCUCGCUGGUGCACUCGGUCGGCCCAGGCCAGCAUCAGCUCGUGCCGGGGGACAAAGGCUUUGGGAAUGUAGCUUCUUCGGGAGUGUUAUAGCCCAUUGCGUAAUACCCUGGCGUGGGCUGAGGUUCGCGCAUCUGCAAGGAUGCUGGCGUAAUGGUCACCAACGAC